UACAGAGGGGGCAAGCGUUGUUCGGAAUUACUGGGCGUAAAGGGCGCGUAGGCGGCCUGCUAAGUCGAACGUGAAAUCCCUGGGCUCAACCCAGGAACUGCGUCCGAUACUGGUUGGCUUGAAUCCGGGAGAGGGAUGUGGAAUUCCAGGUGUAGCGGUGAAAUGCGUAGAUAUCUGGAGGAACACCGGUGGCGAAGGCGGCAUCCUGGACCGGCAUUGACGCUGAGGAGCGAAAGCCAGGGGAGCCGAACGGGG
rnacentral:rRNA from 1 species